rnacentral:rRNA from 1 species
AACGAACGCUGGCGGCAUGCCUAACACAUGCAAGUCGAACGAGAUCUUCGGGUCUAGUGGCGCACGGGUGCGUAACGCGUGGGAAUCUGCCCUUUGGUUCGGAAUAACAGUUGGAAACGACUGCUAAUACCGGAUGAUGACGAAAGUCCAAAGAUUUAUCGCCAGAGGAUGAGCCCGCGUAGGAUUAGCUAGUUGGUGUGGUAAAGGCGCACCAAGGCGACGAUCCUUAGCUGGUCUGAGAGGAUGAUCAGCCACACUGGGACUGAGACACGGCCCAGACUCCUACGGGAGGCAGCAGUGGGGAAUAUUGGACAAUGGGCGAAAGCCUGAUCCAGCAAUGCCGCGUGAGUGAUGAAGGCCUUAGGGUUGUAAGGUUCUUUUACCCGGGAUGAUAAUGACAGUACCGGGAGAAUAAGCUCCGGCUAACUCCGUGCCAGCCGCCGCGGUAA